rnacentral:rRNA from 1 species
GAGGGGGGCGCAAACGUUAUUCGGAAUCACUGGGUGUAAAGAGUGCGUAGACGGCAUUCCAAGCUUGUUGUUAAAUUCCCCGGGCCUAACCGGGGGCUUGCGACGGGGACUGGUUUGCUAGAGGGCGGAAGAGAGAAGUGGAAUUCCCGGAGUAGCGGUAAAAUGCGUAGAUCUCGGGAGGAACACCGAUGGCGUAGGCAGCUUCUUGGUCCGCAUCUGACGUUGAGGCACGAAAGCGUGGGGAGCAAACAGGAUUAGAUACCCUGGUAGUCCACGCCGUAAACGAUGAUCACUGGACGUCGGAUUGGCUUUAGCUGAUCCGGUGUCGAAGCUAACGCGUUAAGUGAUCCACCUGGGGAGUACGGUCGCAAAGAUUAA